rnacentral:rRNA from 1 species
UGGGGGAUAUUGCACAAUGGGGGGAACCCUGAUGCAGCGACGCCGCGUGAGGGAAGAAGGUUUUCGGAUUGUAAACCUCUGUCUUUGGGGAAGAAGAGAUGACGGUACCCAAGGAGGAAGCUCCGGCUAACUACGUGCCAGCAGCCGCGGUAAUACGUAGGGAGCAAGCGUUGUCCGGAAUUACUGGGUGUAAAGGGAGCGUAGGCGGGGCAGCAAGUUGAAUGUGAAAUCUAUGGGCUCAACCCAUAAACUGCGUUCAAAACUGUUGCUCUUGAGUGAAGUAGAGGCAGGCGGAAUUCCUAGUGUAGCGGUGAAAUGCGUAGAUAUUAGGAGGAACACCAGUGGCGAAGGCGGUCUGCUGGCUUUAACUGACGCUGAGGCUCGAAAGCGUGGGUAGCAAACAGGAUUAGAUACC